rnacentral:misc_RNA from 1 species
GAAUACUAGAAGUAUAUAAGAGACUUGAGGGGCAUAUGAAAAGGAGUAUCACAGUUUAAAUAAGAUUAGACGAAUCUCAUGUACUUAGUAAUAGGUAGUAUGAUUAGGGACAUGUUCUUAAAAACGAUUUGACGUGAAGAGGAAAAAGUCAAAAAGUUUGAGACAAGUUGAAGCUACAUGCUUAAGAGUAGUUGAAUAUGCAAACUAGGUGGAAUAGAGUAGCACCGGGAAGUAAAUAAAACUCUGGAGCAAAUAGUGCUUAUUGCGAUUGAUAGUGGGAUUUAGGUGUACUUCUAAAUCUUAAAAAUGAUAUUGAUUUAAGAAAAUUGGUGAAGAUUAUUAUUGAGGAAUUGACAACUCCAUAGAUCAUAAGUGUUGGAUGUGAUCUAGGGAUUUUCGAGGAAGAUGAGAUUGUAUGUAGGUCAACAAUGAGAGGAAUUGGGAAGUAGUUGACAUAAACAUGAUUUCUUGGAAGAUUGAUGCUUAUGAUACAA